GUGAGGAAUAUUGGUCAAUGGGCGGAAGCCUGAACCAGCCAUGCCGCGUGCAGGAAGACGGCCCUACGGGUUGUAAACUGCUUUUCCGGGGGAAGAAUAAGGGCGAUGCGUCGCCCGAUGCCGGUACCCCGGGAAUAAGGAUCGGCUAACUCCGUGCCAGCAGCCGCGGUAAUACGGAGGAUCCGAGCGUUAUCCGGAUUUACUGGGUUUAAAGGGUGCGUAGGCGGACGCCUAAGUCAGCGGUGAAAUGCGGGGGCUCAACCUUCGAACCGCCGUUGAUACUGGGCGUCUUGGAUUCGGUCGAGGCGGGCGGAAUGCGACAUGUAGCGGUGAAAUGCUUAGAUAUGUCGCAGAACGCCGAUUGCGAAGGCAGCUCGCCGGGCCGACAUCGACGCUGAGGCACGAAAGCGUGGGGAUCGAACAGGAUUAGAUACCCUAGUAGUCC
rnacentral:rRNA from 1 species